rnacentral:lncRNA from 1 species
AUGUUGGUUCAAGGUUUGAGGCACAAGGUAAGCCCGGAAGAGGUUAAUCAACGCUUGCUUGUUACGUGCUCUUGGUUAGCGCAUUGCCUAAAAGUGCUCUCUGUCUGUCUCUCUCUCUCCUUUCUGCCUCCGUCUGUCUGUUUUUCAGAAUGGCUCAGCCUUGGUGGAGAGAUCUGGCCGCCUACAGAUAACUGCGGUCUUUGUGCAACCCUUUCUAAGCACAUACGUACUGCUCCAUUCAGAGGGGGAGGUCUGUGGAGGAGGGAGGCCAAGACAGAAGCACCUUUGUUGGCCAUGUUGUACCGUGGGUGGCCCCCCUCCUGUCUUCAGACCCUCAUUUGUAUCACGUGUGUUGAGUGGUGGGUUUGGGCACCGGGCACGGAUGGCCUUGGCACUCGAGCGGCCAGACUGCGGUGGGAGACCUACAUGCAGCCUGGAUGGGUUUUAGGACGUGGCUCUAGGAGAGCAGGAGGAAGAAAUCUGCACCACUUUGUCUGGAGCAGAGGCAACGAAGGGGAACGUGCAAAAGUGACCAUCACAGCUAUCAGCCGUGGAUCGGCGAGGAAGGACUGUGAUUUACAGAUAGCACCUUGUCUCUCCUGCUGGCACCCCGUCAUUACACCGAGCUGAGCACUGGGAGAUAGGUGCUGCGAACAAGAAAGGACCUCUUCUGUAAAUGUCAACGCCAGUCAGAGCCUCAAAUUUUCUCCAUUAACUCUUUCCCCUGCAGUUCUCCAUACUCUAAGCCAAUAAUUACAUGACUUACUCCCUCCUAUUACCAAAUGUUUGGGGUCUAAGUGAUGUUAGAACAUCUGGACAACACACACUCAAAGGAAAAUAAAGCUAUUUGCCAUUUAAUUUAUCUUUCACUGUCUUAAUAGUCUUCUGCUGGCAUGUUUUCUAAGAAGUCACUUUGUGUUCUGAUUUGCAAAAUUUGUCAAAAUUCUGUAUUAAAAGGUUUUAUGGUAUUAAUGUGACUAGAAAUAAGGCAGAAUGCAAACAGUCAGCGCAGGUACGGGAAAUUAAUUUCAUGCUUCAUUCUGUGUUCCUGCUUUUGACCAUGACCUGAAGUUAGUGUGUGGUUACGGUGUGAAAUAGUAAUUUCAGCUCAGAUUCUACGGCAAAAAAAUGUUUUCAUUAUGAAACCAUAAAAAAACACAAGUGCUUAUUAUUUGAAUAUGCAGUUAUGUUCUAAUUAAAUAUUUAUUUUGCAUGAGUGUGUGCAUGUGAUGGAGAUUUCUGUUUGGAUUGAGGGAUAAGACUUUGUGUGUAUGUGUGUGUGUGUGUGUGUGUGCGUGCGCGGGGGUGGGG